GACGAACGCUGGCGGCGUGCUUAACACAUGCAAGUCGAACGGAAAGGCCCUGCUUUUGUGGGGUGCUCGAGUGGCGAACGGGUGAGUAACACGUGAGUAACCUGCCCUUGACUUUGGGAUAACUUCAGGAAACUGGGGCUAAUACCGGAUAGGAGCUCCUGCUGCAUGGUGGGGGUUGGAAAGUUUCGGCGGUUGGGGAUGGACUCGCGGCUUAUCAGCUUGUUGGUGGGGUAGUGGCUUACCAAGGCAUUGACGGGUAGCCGGCCUGAGAGGGUGAACGGAAACAUUGGGACUGAGGUACGGCCCAGACUACUACGGGAGGCAGCAGUGGGGAAUAUUGCACAAUGGGCGGGAGCCUGAUGCAGCAACGCCGCGUGCGGGAUGACUGCCUUCGGGUUGUAAACCGCUUUCGCCUGUGACGAAGCGUGAGUGACGGUAAUGGGUAAAGAAGCACCGGCUAACUACGUG
rnacentral:rRNA from 1 species